GUUGUAUAGUCAAGUAAUUAAGUGCAUGUGGUGGAUGCCUUGGCAGUCAGAGGCGAUGAAAGACGUGAUAGCCUGCGAAAAGCUCCGGGGAGGCGGCAAAUAUCCUUUGAUCCGGAGAUGUCUGAAUGGGGGAACCCACCUACUUUAAGGUAGGUAUUGCAACAUGAAUACAUAGUGUUGCAAGGCGAACGAGGGGAAGUGAAACAUCUCAGUACCCUUAGGAAAAGAAAUCAAUUGAGAUUCCCUCAGUAGCGGCGAGCGAACGGGGAUCAGCCCAUUAAGUUAUGUGUGUUUUAGUGGAACGCUCUGGGAAGUGCGAACGUAGAGGGUGAUAUUCCCGUACACGAAAGGGCACACAUAAUGAUGACGAGUAGGGCGAGGCACGUGAAACCUUGUCUGAAUAUGGGGGGACCAUCCUCCAAGGCUAAAUACUCCUGACUGACCGAUAGUGAACCAGUACCGUGAGGGAAAGGCGAAAAGAACCCCUGUGAGGGGAGUGAAAUAGAUCCUGAAACCGCAUGCAUACAAGCAGUGGGAGCACCUUCGUGGUGUGACUGCGUACCUUUUGUAUAAUGGGUCAGCGACUUAUAUUCAGUAGCAAGGUUAACCGUAUAGGGGAGCCGUAGAGAAAUCGAGUCUUAAUAGGGCGUUUAGUUGCUGGGUAUAGACCCGAAACCAGGCGAUCUAUCCAUGAGCAGGUUGAAGGUUGGGUAACACUAACUGGAGGACCGAACCCACUGUCGUUGAAAAGCCAGGGGAUGACUUGUGGAUAGGGGUGAAAGGCUAAUCAAGCCUGGUGAUAGCUGGUUCUCCCCGAAAGCUAUUUAGGUAGCGCCUCGGACGAAUACCAUAGGGGGUAGAGCACUGUUUCGGCUAGGGGGUCAUCCCGACUUACCAAACCGAUGCAAACUCCGAAUACCUAUGAGUACUAUCCGGGAGACAGACUGCGGGUGCUAACGUCCGUAGUCAAGAGGAAAACAAUCCAGACCGCCAGCUAAGGCCCCAAAAUCAUAGUUAAGUGGGAAACGAUGUGGGAAGGCAUAGACAGCUAGGAGGUUGGCUUANNNNNGAAGCAGCCACCCUUUAAAGAAAGCGUAAUAGCUCACUAGUCGAGUCGGCCUGCGCGGAAGAUGUAACGGGGCUAAAACUAUGUGCCGAAGCUGCGGAUGUAUACUUUGUAUACGUGGUAGGGGAGCGUUCUGUAAGCCGAUGAAGGUGUGUUGAGAAGCNNNNNNNNNNNNAUGCUGGAGGUAUCAGAAGUGCGAAUGCUGACGUGAGUAACGACAAAACGGGUGAAAAACCCGUUCGCCGAAAGACCAAGGGUUCCAGUCCAACGUUAAUCGGGGCUGGGUGAGUCGACCCCUAAGGCGAGGCCGAAAGGCGUAGUCGAUGGGAAAAUGGUUAAUAUUCCAUUACUUCUGUGUAAUGCGAUGAGAGGACGGAGAAGGCUAAAUCAGCCUGGCGUUGGUUGUCCAGGUGAAAGGAUGUAGGCAUGUAUCUUAGGCAAAUCCGGGGUACUCUAUGCUGAGAUCUGAUAGCAAGCUGUACUUGUACAGCGAAGUGGUUGAUGCCAUGCUUCCAGGAAAAGUCUCUAAGCUUCAGUUACACAGGAAUCGUACCCGAAACCGACACAGGUGGUCAGGUCGAGUAGACCAAGGCGCUUGAGAGAACUCUGCUGAAGGAACUAGGCAAAAUGGUACCGUAACUUCGGGAGAAGGUACGCUGUUGUUGGUGAUGGAACUCGCUUCCUGAGCUGACGACAGCCGCAGAAACCAGGCCGCUGCAACUGUUUAUUAAAAACAUAGCACUCUGCAAACACGAAAGUGGACGUAUAGGGUGUGAUGCCUGCCCGGUGCUGGAAGGUUAAUUGAUGGGGUUAGCGUAAGCGAAGCUCUUGAUCGAAGCCCCAGUAAACGGCGGCCGUAACUAUAACGGUCCUAAGGUAGCGAAAUUCCUUGUCGGGUAAGUUCCGACCUGCACGAAUGGCAUAAUGAUGGCGGCGCUGUCUCCAGCAGAGGCUCAGUGAAAUCGAAAUCGCUGUGAAGAUGCAGUGUACCCGCGGCUAGACGGAAAGACCCCGUGAACCUUUACUGCAGCUUGACACUGAACUUUGACCUUACUUGUGUAGGAUAGGUGGGAGGCUUUGAAGCUGGAACGCUAGUUCCAGUGGAGCCGUCCUUGAAAUACCACCCUGGUAAUGUUGAGGUUCUAACUCUGUCCCGUGAUCCGGGACGAGGACCGUGUCUGGUGGGUAGUUUGACUGGGGCGGUCUCCUCCUAAAGAGUAACGGAGGAGUACGAAGGUGCGCUCAGCGUGGUCGGAAAUCACGCGUAGAGUAUAAAGGCAAAAGCGCGCUUAACUGCGAGACCCACAAGUCGAGCAGGUACGAAAGUAGGUCUUAGUGAUCCGGUGGUUCUGUAUGGAAGGGCCAUCGCUCAACGGAUAAAAGGUACUCUGGGGAUAACAGGCUGAUACCGCCCAAGAGUUCAUAUCGACGGCGGUGUUUGGCACCUCGAUGUCGGCUCAUCUCAUCCUGGGGCUGAAGCAGGUCCCAAGGGUAUGGCUGUUCGCCAUUUAAAGAGGUACGCGAGCUGGGUUUAGAACGUCGUGAGACAGUUCGGUCCCUAUCUACCGUGGGCGCUGGAAAUUUGAGAGGAUCUGCUCCUAGUACGAGAGGACCAGAGUGGACGAACCUCUGGUGUACCGGUUGUGACGCCAGUCGCAUCGCCGGGUAGCUAUGUUCGGAAGGGAUAACCGCUGAAAGCAUCUAAGCGGGAAGCCUACCUCAAGAUAAGAUUUCCCUAGGACUUUAUGUCCUCUAAAGAGCCGUUCGAGACUAGGACGUUGAUAGGUUGGAUGUGGAAGCAUAGUGAUAUGUGAAGCUGACCAAUACUAAUUGCUCGUGAGGCUUGACUAUACAACACCCAAGCAGUUG
rnacentral:rRNA from 1 species